GACGAACGCUGGCGGCGUGCUUAACACAUGCAAGUCGAACGGAAAGGCCCUGCUUUCGUGGGGUGCCCGAGUGGCGAACGGGUGAGUAACACGUGAGUAACCUGCCCUUGACUUUGGGAUAACUUCACGAAACUGGGCCUAAUACCGGAUCGGAGACCCUGCUGCAUGGUGGGCGGUGGAACGUUUCGGCGGUUGGGGAUGGACUCGCGGGUUAUCAGCUUGUUGGUGGGGUAGGGGCUUACCAAGCCUGUGGCGGGUAGCCUGCCUGGGAGGGUGGCCGGGCGCCAUGGUACUGGGGUACGGCGCAGAGUCGUACAUGAGGCAACGGGGGAGAGUAUUGCACAAUGGGAGGGAGCGUGUGGCGGCAACGCCGCGUGCGGGAAGACGGCCUGCGGGUAGAGAAACGCUGUCGCCUGUGACGAAGCGUGAGUGACGGUAAUGGGUAAAGAAGCACCGGCUAACUACGUG
rnacentral:rRNA from 1 species